GAUUUGCUAGAGCUUCUCAUUUAGACGGGCAGAACUUGGCAUAAGACCAAAGGGUUCCUUCCGAUCUCUCAGAGGCUUCCUGAGAGCACAGAUGGAUGAGCAAGACUCAGCUGGCCGUGGAACAGGAAGAGGCCAUGCCAACCAAACUGGGAGAAGUGGGGGGCUCUGGGAAAACUCUGUGCAGAAGAUCCAUGGUGAGGUGGACACCCUCCGCUCAGAGGUGCAGAGGCAGCAGUUGAGGCAGUUCUGCUGCCAGGAGGCCAAAGGACCCCGAGGGGUUUGCAGCCGACUCUACCACCUUUGCCACCAGUGGCUGAAGCCAGAAAGGCACACGAAAGCUGAGAUGCUGGACCUGGUGAUCUUGGAGAAGUUCCUGGCUGUCCUUCCCCCGGAGAUGGAGAGCUGGGUGAGGGAAUGCGGAGCAGAGACCAGUUCCCAGGCGGUGGCCCUGGCCGAAGGUUUCUCCUGAGUCAGGCAGAGGAGAGGAAGCAGGGAAAGGAUCUCUUUGCAGAAAUGGACCUGGAUUCCUGUGAGGCAGAGAGGCGUUCGUUGGACACCAGAGAGAGGCCACUGGGUGACAGAAGGAUGCCAGCAAGACCUUCUGAUCCGCCUUUUCAUGGGGGCAGAAGGGAAGCAGCGGCUGUGGAACCAGAUCAGGUCAGGGGAAGCUGCCUUGUGGGGACAGAUGCUGAGGGAUGGAGCAAUGUCAUGGACUGGUUGGGCACAGAGGAGUGGUGGGAGGAAGCAGCCGGGGAACCAAGAAGGAAAGAUGGCUCAGAGCCGAUGGAAUGGAGGUGGAACAAGGAUGAAUGGUCAGAAGGAGAAGAGGGAAAGGCCUGGGAAGAAGCUGAAGGGGAAACAGGGCUUAGUGAGCUGGGAGACUCUGUGGCAGAAUGCAGUGCAGAAUCAGAGGCAGAAGAGGAAGGAGGCGAGUGGGAGGAGGAAGGUCGAGAGGCAGAGGUGAGUCAGGAUAAGGAGGAGCCACCGGUGGCUCCCUCUCCUUUUGCCAGAAGCCACCCUCCCUGCUUGUCUCUCAGAGCCAGGAGACCCCCUGCAGUGCAGGAAUCUCUGCUAGAUAAUCCAAGACCAAAAGAGGCUUAUUUUAUUUCUAGAUUGAUAACUGAAUGCAAAAAUUUGUUUCUAAGCAGUGGACAAAUGAGAAACAAAUAGUGGCCUGAAAACAUAAGGUGGAGUACCACCUAUUUGCACAAAAACGAAUACCCAUAAUUAAAAUGCAGAAUAAAAUAAGCAUCCAUAAAUAUAACGUGCAGCAAAGCAAAUAAGCAUCCAUAAAUAUAAUGUGCAGCAAAGCAAUCCUAUUUAAACAACACCGCAAUUUACAGGAAGGAAACAACAGAGCAUUGUGGAGAGGAUCAUAUUUCUGCUGUCUCAGAGGAGGACAUUCCCUUUUUCUUUUAGGGUCCAGUGUGCUUUGAAGAUGUCGCUGUUUUGUUUCACGGACGAGGAGUGGGCGUUGCUGGAUCCUGACCAGAGAGCUCUGCAUAAGGACGUCAUGGAGGAGAAUCGUGGGAUCGUGCCUCUCUUGGUAAGGCUCUCUGUGGGAUCGUUAUAUCUGCCUGGAAAUACAAAAAUACCUCUAUGUGACCAACCUCCAUAUAUUUUCACAGAGCUCAACAGCCCCCCCCCCUAUAACACCUGGGAACCGAACACCCCCACAAUAAACAGUAAAUUACAGUUUUUUCUUUUGAACAAUCUUCUUCAAAUUAUUCCUUUUUCUACCACGAUUGGGCUGGUGUGAACUGCCCAGGCCAUAUUCAAUGUCACUG
rnacentral:lncRNA from 1 species